GGAUAUAUAGGAAAGUGAAUCUACAGGCGGAUAAAAGAAGGAAGUUACAGGAGAAUAUAUAUGCGCGUGGAUCUACAAUCCGAUAAAGGAAUGAAGUCACAGGCAGAUAGGAAAGUGAAUCUACAGGCAUAUAGGAGAAUGGAGUCACAGGUGGAUAGAUAGGUGAAUGGAGUUACAGGCAGAUGGAUUGGAGAAUGAAUCUACAGGCGGAUAGAAGAAUGGAGUCACAGGUGGAUAGAUAGGAGAGUGGAUCUACAAGCAGAUAGAAGAAAGGAGUCAGAGGUGGAUAGAUAGAAGAAUGGAGCUACAGACAGAUAGGUGAGUGGAUCAACAAGCAGAUAGAAGAAUGAAGUUACAAGAGGAUAUAUAGGAGAGUGGAUCUACAAGAUGAUAGAAGAAAGGAGUCACAUGCAGAUAGAAUGGAGUUACAGGCAGAUGGAUAGGAGAGUGGAGCUAAAGGCAGAUAGAAGAAUGAAGCUACAGACAUAUAGAAAAAUGGAUGUACAGGCGGAUAGCUAGGAAAGGGAAUCUACAGGCAGAUAGAAGAAAGGAGUCAAAUGUGGAUAGAUAGGAGAGUAGAGCUACAAGCGGAUAGAAGAAUGACAUUACAAGAGGAUAUAUAGGAGAGUGGAUAUACAAGCUGAUAGAAGAAAGGAGUCACAGGUAGAUGGGAGAAUGGAGUUAUAGGCGGAUAGAUAGGAGAGUGGAGCUACAGGCAGAUAUAUAGUAAAGUGAAUCUGCAGGCGGAUAGAAGAAUGGAGUUAUAGGCGGAUAGAUAGGAGAGUGUAGCUACAGGCGGAUAUAUAGUAAAGUGAAUCUACAGGUGGAUAAAAGAAGGAAGUUACAGGAAAAUAUAUAUGCGAUUGGAUCUACAAUCAGAUAAAGGAAUGAAGUCACAGGCAGAUAGGAAAGUGAAUCUACAGGCAUAUAGAAGAAUAGAGUCACAGGUGGAUAGAUAGGAGAAUGGAGUUACAGGCAGAUGGAUAGGAGAGUGAAUAUACAGACGGAUAGAAGAAUAGAGUCACAGGUGGAUAGAUAGGAGAAUGGAGUUACAGGCAGAUGGAUAGGAGAGUGAAUAUACAGACGGAUAGAAGAAUGGAGUCACAGGUGGAUAGAUAGGAGAAUGGAGUUAUAGGCGAAUAUAUAGGAGAGUGGAGCUACAGGUGGAUAGAUAGGAGAGGGGAACAACAGGCUGAUAGAAGAAAGGAGUCACAGGCAGAUAGAUAGUAGAAUAGAGCUACAGGCAGAUAUAUAGGAAAGUGAAUCUACAGGCAGAUAGAAAAAUGGAGUUACAGGCGGAUAGAUAGGAGAGUGGAUCUACAAUCAGAUAGAGGAGUGAAGUCACAGGCGUAUAGAUAGGAAAGUAAAUCUCGAGGCAGAUAGAAGAAAGGAGUCAAAGGUGGAUAGAUAGGAGAGUGAAUCUACAGGCGGAUAGAAGAAUGGGGUCACAGGUGGAUACAUAGGAGAGUGGAGCUACAGGUGGAAAGAUAGGAGAGUGGAUCUACAAUCAGAUAGAGGAAUGAAUUCACAGGCGGAUAGAUAGGAAAGUUAAUCUACAAGCAGAUAGAAGAAUGACGUAACAAGAGGAUAUAUAGGAGAGUGGAUCUACAAGCUGAUAGAAGAAAGGAGUCACAGGCAGAUAGAUAGGAGAAUGGAGUUAUAGGCGGAUAGAUAGGAGAGUGGAGCUACAGGCAGAUAUAUAGGAAAUUGAAUCUACAGGCGGAUAGAAGAAUGGAGUUACAGGCGGAUAGAUAGGAGAGUGGAGCUACUGUUGGAUAGAUAGGAGAGUGUAUCUACAAGCAGAUAGAAGAAGGAAGUUACAGGAGAAUAUAUAGGAGAGUAGAUCUGCAAUCAGAUAGAGGAAUGAAGUCACAGGCGGAUAGAUAGGAAAGUGAAUCUACAGGCAGAUAGAAGAAAGGAGUCACAGGUGGAUAGAUAGGAGAAUGGAGUUAUAGGCAAAUGGAUAGGAGAGCGAAUCUAUAGGCUGAUAGAAGAAUGGAGUCACAGGUGGAUAGAUUGGAGAAUGGAUCUAAAAGCAGAUAGAAGAAUGACAUUACAAGAGGACAUAUAGGAGAGUGGAUAUGCAAGCUGAUAGAAAAAAAAAGUCACAGGCAUAUAGAUAGGAGAAUGUAGAUAUGUUAGCGGAUAGAUAGGAAAGUGAAUCUACAGGCGGAUAGAAGAAUGGAGUUAUAGGUGGAUAGAUAGGAGAGUGGAGCUACAGGCAGAUA